AGGCAGAGGAGAGGUACAGCAGAGGUGGAUUCUGAGCACAAAAAGGAAUUGGCACACUGUAGCUAGCCCCGUUACAGGAUAGGAUCAGGGAGAGGCUUCUUCCAGGAGCUAAGGGCAGCCUCCAGCUCAAAGUCAGAAUCUGGGAUCUCAGUUCUACCACCACAAGAACUGGAUUUUGCCAGCAACCUAAAGAAGCUAGGGAAUGGAUUCUCCUGUGGAACCUCUCUGUAAGAAUACAGCUAGGAAACACUUUGAUUCCAGCCUGGUGAACCCAAAGCAGGGUUGUAUUUUGAUGGAAUUAUGUCCUCUCUAAAUUCCUAUGUUGAAUCCGAACCUCCAGUGUGAUGCUGUUUGGAGAUGGAGCCUCUGGGAGGGAUCCUUCAGUCUGUGUCUGAGGAGAUGUAUGCCUGGUUUUGCCCCACUACUGAGUGCCUUCUGUACCUUAGUACUAAUAUCUAUGGCAGAUGGACUACUGUAGCUACUCUGAGUACAGUCAGGAUCAGUUGGCAUCUGACUCUCAAUUGCACAGAAGACCUCCUGGAGGGGAUGGACCGAGCUUGCCUUCAUGUUGCUUGAUGUGACAGGAUGCUGAUUAAACCCUUGCAAAGACGUCCUGAGAAGAGGGGAGAUAAUUUUAAAUGGUGCAGUGAAGAAUACUGAAAACACAGUUUGAUGAUAGCCACACAUAGUUUUCAUAAAGCUGAGAUACACAAUGUAAACUCUAGUGCAAUGAAGUACUUAAUGAAUUUGUAAAAACUUAGGAUCUCCCUUGCGGUUGAAUGUUUUAUUAGAUAUUAAUGAAUAUUUUCCUUUUACUAAAUGGUUGUUAUAACCAAAUCUCAAAACUAAAGUAUAACCAGAAACAUAUGUUUUUGUACCCCCUUGCCAACUAUUUAAUAAACCCUAAGCAAUUCUAAGGAGACUCAGACAAUUCUUGCCUUUAAAACAUCAUAAUCUGAAGUCUUUCAUUUUGAGUUACAUGGUUCCAAUGGAUCUACUUUGCCCUGAAA